GACGAACGCUGGCGGCGUGCUUAACACAUGCAAGUCGAACGGAAAGGCCUGCUUUCCCUUGUGGAUUGCGGGUACUCGCGUGGCGAACGGGUGAGUAACACGUGAGUGAUCUGCCCCCAACUUGGGUAUAAGCCUGGGAAACUGGGUCUAAUUCCCGAUAGGACUGCAGGGUGGUGCCUGUGGUGGAAAACGAUUUUCUAGUGGUUGGGGAUGAGCUCGCGGCCUAUCAGCUUGUUGGUGGGGUAAUGGCCUACCAAGGCGGGGACGGGUAGCCGGCCUGAGAGGGUGGACGGGCACAUUGGGACUGAGAUACGGCCCAGACGCCUACGGGAGGCAGCAGUGGGGAAGAGUGCACAAUGGGCGGAAGCCUGAGGCAGCGACGCCGCGUGGGGGAUGACGGGCUUCGGGUGGUAAACUCCUUUCGACCGCGAGGAAGCCACCUGGUUGGAAGGGUGGUGACGGUAGUGGUAGAAGAAGCACCGGCUAACUACGUG
rnacentral:rRNA from 1 species